GUGUUUCUGGUGUAAUGGUUAGCCUGGAUGCCUUCCAAGCAUUCCACGGGGGUUCGAAUCUUCCCAAACGCA
rnacentral:tRNA from 1 species